CAAGUCGCGCGCGAAAGUGAACUUCGGUUCACGAGUAGAGCGGCGAAAGGGUGAGUAACGCAUAGUUAACCUACCCCUGACACCGGUAUAGCCUCUGGAAACGGAGGGUAAUCCCGGAUGGUCCCAACGGUCGGAAUCGACUGUUGGGUAAAGGUUGGGAUCUUCGGACCUUCCGGUCAGGGAGGGGACUAUGCCCCAUCAGCUUGUUGGUGAGGUAACGGCUCACCAAGGCUUUAACGGGUAGCCGGACUGAGAGGUUGACCGGUCACACUGGGACUGAGACACUGCCCAGACUCCUACGGGAGGCUGCAGUCGAGAAUCUUCCGCAAUGGGCGAAAGCCUGACGGAGCGACGCCGCGUGGGGGAUGAAGGCCUUCGGGUUAUAAACCCCUGACACGGAUUAUGAAUGGCUGUACGUUAAUAGCGUGCAGUUUGACAAAGGUCCGAGAGGAAGCCACGGCUAACUCUGUGCCAGCAGCCGCGGUAAUACAGAGGUGGCAAGCGUUGCUCGGAAUCAUUGGGCAUAAAGGGCGUCUAGGCGGAUGUGUCAGUCGGUUGUGAAAUCCCUCGGCUUAACCGAGGAACUGCUGCCGAUACUGCAUGUCUUGAGGAUGAGAGGGGAGAGUGGAACUCCAGGUGGAGCGGUGAAAUGCGUAGAUAUCUGGAGGAACGCCGGCGGCGAAAGCGACUCUCUGGCUCAUUCCUGACGCUGAAGCGCGAAAGCUAGGGGAGCGAACGGGAUUAGAUACCCCGGUAGUCCUAGCCGUAAACGAUGAGCACUAAGUAGUGGCGGUUUCGAUGUCGUCACUGCCGUAGCUAAUGUGUUAAGUGCUCCGCCUGGGGAGUAUGGUCGCAAGGCAA
rnacentral:rRNA from 1 species